rnacentral:lncRNA from 1 species
UCACUUCAAAGAAACAGGACAGAAAGGAAGGGGAGAUGAAGGAAAAGAGAAUAGAAGAUGUUACAAGAGGGUUGUCAGGCUGGAAAUACCCUCGAAAAUUGGGGUUAAAUGAGAAGAGUGUAUCUUCCCAAUGCUGGGUUCUCCCUGCCCACUACACUCAUUUUUUCUUUCUUGAAAACAUCUGUGGAUAUAAGUGCCCUCGGUGAAGGACUCCAGGAAUCAUUUUGGUGGAUAUUUUCCUCUGCAUUGGAUGCAGCAUGUCCUCAAAUAACUGGAGAGCCUCCAUGGUUUGAAAAUGAUCAAGAAUAA